GUAAAACUACAUGAGAAGUAGCCUACACUAAAUUUAUUUAAAUUUUACUACUUGCUAUUUGGUAUCUGUGGAUUCAUAUAGUUUUUAUUCAGUAGGCGCUAACCGGAAGUUAACUGACCUAAUCUAAGCCAACUUGGUGCUAGUGGCGCAAAGUUCCUCCUCCUGGUACCGAAAGAAACGGACACGAAACGUCUUAUUCUGUCAUUGAACCGCUGCCGACGACACUCAUAGCACCCGAAAUGUCUCCCGAUUUCUGCGCCGAAUCAUCCCUGAAGAAGCGGAGUUCGCAUGAAAACACAGACUAAAUACAUCAACAGUAGUUAGCAGGGGCAAUUCAGUUUAGCCUAAGGUCAGUUUUGAAUAUUUCUUGCUAGUUUUAGUCGUGUUUCAUCCGAGCGAAGACACAAAAACAAUGGCGUUCUUCGUGAAAAAGAAGAAAUUCAAGUUUCAGACCCAACUGACGCUAGAGGAGCUGACCGCUGUGCCUUUUGUCAACGGAGUGUUGUUCUGCAAGAUGAGGCUGCUGGAUGGAGAUUUUGUCGCUACUUCUUCCAGACAGGAGGUUCGAGAGAACUGUGUUCGCUGGAGGAAGAGGUUCACCUUUGUGUCUAAAAUGAGUGCCAAUCCCCACACCGGCGUCCUAGAUCCUUCAGUCUGCAGGGUGUCAGUUAGGAAGGAACUCAAAGGAGGAAAAACAUAUACGAAGCUGGGCUUCACAGACCUCAACAUGGCGGAGUUUGCGGGUUCUGGCUCCACCGUGCGCUGCUGUCUGCUGGAGGGAUACGACACCAAGAACACACGGCAGGACAACUCAAUACUCAAGGUGAUCAUUGGAAUGACCCUGCUGUCCGGAGAUCCGUGUUUUAAAACGCCUCCCAGCACAGCAAAGUCUAUCGCCAUCCCCGGACAAGAACACACCCUGCAGCUGGACUGUAAGGGGGAGGGAACAGCCGAGCCGGGGCCGGCUGGAGGGGUUUCUCUGGGACGAGUCAGCAAGCCGCGACCAUCCAUCAUCAACUCAGGUCUCCUUGAAGAAUCAGAAGUGAACCACUCCAGUCCUGCAGAAGUCUUCCAGUCUGGUCACUCUCGUAACUCCAGCUAUGCCAGCCAGCACAGCAAAAUCUCUGGCUACAGCACUGAGCACUCCUGCUCCUCCAGCCUGUCAGACCUCACACAUCGCAGGAACACCUCAACAGGAAGCAGCGCCUCCGGGGGCUUGGGCUUCACUGCUGACACACCUACAGAGGGUGACAAGGACGCCGGUCGUCCAGAAAGACCCCCUCGACCCCCACGGCCCAUCUUACCCCCUAACAGGCCCCCCAGGCGGAAGCAGGACUCAGUGGUGAGUCAGCCCUCCUGGGUAAACGACACUCGCAUGGAUGCCGAUGACAUUGUGGAGAAAAUUGUCCAAAGCCAAAACUUUGCAGAUAUCAACAACACUGAAGACAGCAACUUGCGUCUGUUCGUCAACAAAGAUGGAACCACUGCGCUCAGCAGCAUCAGGCUUGGAAACAGGGUGUCUGCAGGCGGGUACGAGCCUGUGGUGAUAGAGAGCCAUUAAAGCGAGCAGCAGGAGAGGGGGACACGUCGACCUGUGGAUUAUGGAUCGUCUCGUCUUCUGUCUUGCUGGUUGCCCCAGAGCUUCAGCCGGUCUGAAGCUGUGGAGGGAAAAACCUUGUCAGUUUGCACUUUAUGUGAAGUUUGUGGCGGCACUUGUCUGCCCUCCCUUCAGCUGUUUGUCUGUGAUGUUGAGGGCGACAACUCAGAGGGAAAAAGUUUGAGAUUUUAGGACUUCUUAGGAAUUCAAUGUGAUCUGUUAAAUGAUAAAAGAUACAGAAGCCAAAAUCGUCCAAGUGUCCCCAGUUUAUUAUUCAAACUAAUGCUAAGGGGACAGUGUUAAUUAAUAGCUGUUAGAUUUGAUAGCUGUUUCUUACUUUAUACGAUUUCACUUCUGAAAACAAGUAACAGGAAGGGACUGCAGGCCGGACUGAAGUAACUUCAUUAUGUACUGGGGACAUAUGGAUGAUAAUGGUCAUUUUCUUAUAAACUUGACUCCUGCAGUAUGAUAUGUUCAUCUAAACCAACAAUCUUUUUGUUGUGUCAUUUUUCAUAAAGCCCCUUUUUAAGUGACAGGUUAAUAAAAAAAAGUUUAAUUUGGCCACAACCAGUUGUGCAGAUGAAGACAGAUCUUUUACUGUUUAUUCAGUGGGUGUUUUUUUCUUUUUUCUUAAACAAGUCCGUAACAAGUUGUUUUGACACAUUUUUUGUCACUGCCAACUGUCUGAAAUGGCGAGCAAGAAUGUCACUGGGAGUUUAGUUGAUGUGUAAUGUUUAAUUUUGAUUCAGCAGGGAAAGGUUUCCACCUUUUUAAAAGACCUUCCAAACCAAGUCCCAACAGCAAAACAGGAUCAAAUCCUUUAGUCUUAUGCAAUGCAUAACAAAAACUCCUGCAUGUCAACUUGAAGUGUAUUAACUUCCGACAGGCAGCACUCCAAACACUGAAUGUGAUCAAGAGUUUAGAAAACCACUAAGGAGCCGUGAAGAUGCAGAAACUCUGAAUAACUUUACUUUUUUGUCUUUUUGUUUGAAGUUGUAGCUGUUCCCUGUUGAACAGGGAAAAGCAGUAGAACCACCUUGUGCCUGUAACGUUUCUCUCGAAUGACCCUUAAACACCCCGAAAACUUUGAUAGAGUGCUGGUGACGGUGAGGAGAGAAAUAUUGUUUCUUGUUACUUUUUUUUAGUUCUGUUUUGUCUUGUAACUUGCAAGUGUAGCCAUUUUGGAAAAUCCCACUGUAUACUCACUGCAUGUCGCUCCAUCUCCAUGAAGGACGACUUGUAAAAGAUUCAGUUCCCCACUCUCCUCAGCCAUUAGAAAUGAAAACUAACCGCCAUGAAGAGGGAUUACUGCAGUCUUUGUUGCCCCCUGGUGGAGUAACAGCUUGCUUUCAGGUUUUUGCAUGAGUUCUUGUCCUUUACAAGGCUGUUUACUUCAAGUUUGUUUAAAGCUGUCUUCAGAUGAACAAACACCAAAGAGGCGGAAAGAAGAACAAGUUUCUGUAGCUCAGACAAACAUGGAAGAGGAAAUGGAAGCAAACCAGCUGGCUGGUUUAUGCUUUUUUGUGUGUGUAUUAAUUAAGCAAGUUUUCUGUUUUGAGUUUGAUGUCCACAAACGUGUCUAUCUCAAGAAGUAACGAGGGGGAUUGUUUUUUUUAUCUUGUACUGAGUCUUAAAAUCUUAUUUUUUCUGUUGGUAAAAAGGGUGAAAAAACUCUGUCUGACAAAUAAUGCCUCCUUUUUAAAAUGCAGGUUGCAACUCCCUUGAAUUUAGUUAAUUUACAUGGAUGUUAUGUGGCCUAGAUUGGGCUGUGACUAAUAAUUGUCCUAAUUGAUUGAAUAUGCCAAUAAUUUGUUCAUUGAAUCUCUUAAUUAGUUAAUGGUAAAAACUAUAAAAGGUCAGAAAAUUGUGACAAAGAGUCAAAUAUUUUCCAGAUAUCUGAACUCUUCAAAUUGCUUAUUUUGUCCUAUUAACAGCCUUUAAACCAAAACAUAUUCAAUUUGAAAUCAUAUAAAUUAAAAAAGAAACAACAAAUCCUCACACAUGGCAGUCCGGAAGAAGCUAAUUUGAGAUUCGUGCCUGAAAAAGUACUGUUAUAUACAAUAUUUUCCCUUAAUCACAAUAAAAAAAAUGCAGCUUUUAAGACUCUGUUCUUUAUCCCUAAAAAUAUUUUGCAUGGACAUUAUUUUUGUUCUUCACACUUCGCUGGUGGAACCCAGCUCAUUACUAUAUAAGUUGAAUCACUUAUCUUUACAUUACCAAGUUUGUAUUUUGCAGCUGGAUGUUUAUUAAUCACAUUUUGGGGAUGCACCACUGACUGUAUGGUCUGAAUUUGGGUUUACAUCACCACAGCCUUUAGUAUUCUUUUAAAGCCUUUAUUUAUAUAUUUUUGUUCCUUAUUCUUUUUUUGUUCGGAGGUUGGUUUUAAGCUAUGCACACAACAUACCUUCCUAAGUUUUUUCUAUUAGUAAUUCUAACAAAUGAUUUUAUUGAAACAAAGCUUGUAUAACCGAAAUUUAUAGAGAAUCCAGUUGGGACGUUUUCUUUUUGUUGGUAUUUCUGCAGAAAUUACUAAACAAUAAAAAGCUUAUUUGAGUUUG